GACGAACGCUGGCGGCGUGCCUAAUACAUGCAAGUCGAACGCACUCUCGUUUAGAUUGAAGGAGCUUGCUCCUGAUUGAUAAACAUUUGAGUGAGUGGCGGACGGGUGAGUAACACGUGGGUAACCUGCCCUAAAGUGGGGGAUAACAUUUGGAAACAGAUGCUAAUACCGCAUAAAACCUAAACACCGCAUGGUGUAGGGUUGAAAGAUGGUUUCGGCUAUCACUUUAGGAUGGACCCGCGGUGCAUUAGUUAGCUGGUGAGGUAAAGGCUCACCAAGACCGUGAUGCAUAGCCGACCUGAGAGGGUAAUCGGCCACACUGGGACUGAGACACGGCCCAGACUCCUACGGGAGGCAGCAGUAGGGAGUCUUCCACAAUGGACGAAAGUCUGAUGGAGCAACGCCGCGUGAGUGAAGAAGGUUUCGGAUCGUAAAACUCUAGUUGUUGGAGAAGAAUGUAGUCUGAUAGUAACUGAUCAGGUAGUGACGGUAUCCGAACCAGAAAG
rnacentral:rRNA from 1 species